rnacentral:misc_RNA from 1 species
UUUUCACUGACGGUAGGACAAUGAAGAAAUGUUGUGGAUUUCUUGCUUUGUUUUGUUGUACGGUCGUGCUGAGUAUGACAUUACAAGGUUAUGGACUGUAUGCCGACACUUGGAUGCGACUUGAUUCCUGUGAAUUAACUAAGAUACAGAUAUUCCACUGUCGUUGCGAGCACAGUAAACUUAUUCUGCAUGCACUUAUAAAAACAGUUCUUUAACUUGUUUACCGUAUGGUGUGGAUCCAUACAAGCUUUUUUGUGAUGCAUGUGAUGUUCUAAGAGGUUGCCCGUUUGGUUCCUUGGAGAGCUUUUCCAUACUAUGCAACGUUUUUGCUGUUUGCAGCAUUGUCAUUGGCAAAUGCAAGGCUGCAUGUUCUUCAGCUGACAUGGACAAAUAUACAGGAAUUGCAGCAUUGUUAUAUUUUGCAGGAGGUGUCCUUAACGUCGCUGCGUGUGCAGUAGUCAGGGAAAGGAUGCAGUCUCUAUCUUUCACAUCUCUGGGUAUCUCCUAUUACCUGAAUAUUAUAUCCGGCUGCUACACAGUUAUACAGGCUGUGGUACUCGUUAUAGUAAAGACAUGCGGGGAAAAUAUCCGACGACUCAAUCCCUCAGCAUGCAUAGAAAGGAAUACAUCAGCAUGUUUAGAACGAAUCACUUCGUCAGGUACAGAAGAUACUAGUCCUGAAUGUGAUGACAGCAGUGAUUCUCUGGAUAAUUCAUUUUCUGAAUGAGGAGCCGUGUGUAGUCCUGCUGGUGUAUCAACAGUUUCUAGAAUCGUGGAUCUACAAAAGGGUUCUGAAUUUGAUGACAGCAGUGAUUUUUUGGAGACUUCAUUUUCUGAACGAGGAGCCGUGUGUAGUCCUUCUGGUGUAUCAACAGUUUCUAGAAUCGUAGAUCUACAAAAGGAACCAUACGAUGCUGCAAUGAGAGGAGCUCAAGUUCGUAUUGAUAAAUAAAUAUUUUAAAAGUUGUUUAUUAGUGAAAAUAAAGUUUAAAUGUUGAAGCAAAUGUGUAUCGACUAGUACAUAUUUGUGCAAACGUACUCAAGUAUAUUGUAUGCUGUCUUGACUACAUUGUUAACACAUAUCAAUGUCAAAUUUGCUACCUGAAAUCAUCAAUAAGAAAACGCUAGCUAAAACGACAUCGCGAUUGCAAGAAUGGCGUCGCUUUAUCAUAGCAUUAAAUACCGCCUAAAUGUACACGGUCUGUAAAUUGGCUUUAUUACUGCAAUAAUAUUUAACUUGUAUAUAACCAAAUAAAUAUCAAUAUAGUUUAUCAGAUUAUAAGUGUGAUAAUUAAUUAUGAAUAGUUUUCUGUAACUCUAUAAUGAUUAACGGUUGAAUAAGCUAUCACAUCCUUGCAUCCUGUCCUAUAAAUGUGUGUGUUAUCACAAAAUAAACAAGGAUUAUCUUUUGUAACA